CCCUUAGACGUUCUGGGCCGCACGCGCGCUACACUGACGAAGGCAACGAGCUUUCCUUUACCGAAAGGUACGGGUAAUCUUUUGAAACUUCGUCGUGCUGGGGAUAGAUCCUUGCAAUUUUUGAUCUUAAACGAGGAAUUCCUAGUAAGCGCAAGUCAUCAACUUGCGUUGAUUAUGUCCCUGCCCUUUGUACACACCGCCCGUCGCUACUACCGAUUGAAUGGUUUAGUGAGGCCUUCGGAUCCGCGACUCGUUUUGUGGAGAAGUUGGACAAACUCAGUCAUUUAGAGGAAGUAAAAGUCGUAACA
rnacentral:rRNA from 1 species